rnacentral:lncRNA from 1 species
GCCACCGGGGCUUCGGGGAGGAUGCCACGAUCAAACAGAGCAGCCAGAAGGCUCUAGCUGUCAUUUUCAUAGACAGGGCUCCCAGGCUCGAAAACGGAGCCCGGCUUUGGCUGCCUUUCUCUCCCCCAGCCCCGCUCCACACCCCCCACCCCCGCUCAUGCUAAUGAGGGGCAGCCUUGGGGGAAGCGGGCAUCGCCGGCUGAGCAGACCAUUGGAACAAAACCCAGCGCGGGGACCUCUUCCUCUUCCUCAGGGGGACAAGCACGUGGCCUCGCAGAGUGGCUCCUGGCGACGUCUUGGCAUCUGCAGACCAGGAUAACAUCACAUCCUGAACUUUCAACCUGGGCUGUCCUUGAACUCUCCAGCUGCCCUCCUGGUCCUCCUGAUUAGGCCUUCAGAGUGCUGGGAUUACAAGCAUGUGCUACCACACCCUGCUAAGAGCAGUCUGCUUUGAGGAUUUGUGUCGAGGAGCUCCCAGCCACUGGGCCAUCCAAAGAGGAAACUGUCAGGGGCCCAGCAGAGCAGAUUCCUAAACUGGGAUGCUGCAGUUUGAGGACCCCCAUGAGACGCUCUCCACCGCGUGUGGCUGUCCGCGGCUGACCGCAGAACGCCCGCCCGAGCGGGGAGCACAGCAGGUACCUGCUGCUCCGCACCCUGGGCAGGGGGACUCCCCCACCCCACCCCCCCCGCCGAUCCUCUCUGUGCUCCCGGGCCGUGCGCUGCGACUCGGCAGCGUGAACCAAGCCUGCAGAUGAG